rnacentral:rRNA from 1 species
GACGAACGCUGGCGGCGUGCUUAACACAUGCAAGUCGAACGGAAAGGCCCUGCUUUUGUGGGGUGCUCGAGUGGCGAACGGGUGAGUAACACGUGAGUAACCUGCCCUUGACUUUGGGAUAACUUCAGGAAACUGGGGCUAAUACCGGAUAGGAGCUCCUGCUGCAUGGUGGGGGUUGGAAAGUUUCGGCGGUUGUGGAUGGACUCGCGGCUUAUCAGCUUGUUGGUGGGGUAGUGGCUUACCAAGGCUUUGACGGGUAGCCGGCCUGAGAGGGUGACCGGGGACAAUGGGACUAAGGUAGGCCGCAGAAGGCAACGGGAGGCAACAGGGGGGAAUAUUGCGGAAUGGGCGGAAGCCUGAUGCGGAAACGCCGCGUGCGGGAUGACGGCCUUCGGGUUGUAAACAGAUUUGGAAUGUGACGAAGAGUGAGUGACGGUAAUGGGUAAGGAAGCACCGGCUAACUACGUG